GGGGAUUUAGCUCAAUGGUAGAGCGCUUGCCUAGCAAGCGCAAGGCCCUGGAUUCAGUUCCCA
rnacentral:tRNA from 1 species